rnacentral:lncRNA from 1 species
AAGUAACAUCUAAAAAGAAGCAAGCUCUAUCAGUUUGUCCAAUUCUUCUAAAAUCAACCAGAUGUCUGAGUGUAUAUAUUUUAGGUAGCAGUGAACAUGUUACAAUAGUAUGGCCAAAAAUAUUACCGCUGCAAGAUUUCACUUGUCACAAAUGAAGUUAGUAAGAACUUCAUUCACUUUGAAUCAACUUGACUGAUGAUUUGGACUAAUUAUAACAUAUUUCCUUCACUAUAUUUGACAGCUGAUAUUCUAGUCUGCUAGAUAAAGCAUACUUCAAUCCUUUUGUUAUGGGAGCUUUACAAACAAAACAUUUGACAUUUAAAUACAUGAUACCCUUGCUCGAAAAGUUGCUUUAUAUGAUUAAUUUAAGUACAAAACAUAAAUAACAUACUAAAAACAUAAAUAACAUACUAAACUACAUAUAUUAGUCAAUUUCGAUGCAUGGAAAUCCACUAACUAGACAAUGCAAGCAAAAAGUAUCAACACGUUUCAACAACACGGAAAAUUAAGAAUCAGACACAG